rnacentral:lncRNA from 1 species
CUAAAUCAAUCCCAUUCAUAGCUUCAAUGGCCUCUUCCAUUGCAAUCUUUUCAUCAAAGGAGACAAAUCCGAAGCCACGAGAGCGUCUAGAGAACUUAUCAACAGCCACCUACAAAUACAUACAACCACUUGCAUGAAAGAGUCCAUUCCUAUAAUAUAUAUGAAGUGUUGAAAUGAAUUUCAAACAUAACAUAAAAUCAUAAUUCGUAACUACCGAACAGUAGAGACAGGGCUUGUACAACAGCCACUCUAUGUCAGUAAUCUUAGCAAUUGAGUCUAUUCAAGCAUAUUUUCUCAAGAAAAUAACGAAUCAAAAAGAAAAAGAAAAUAUUACGUCCACCCCUGAUCAUCUUCCCAAGAGAAGAGAAAGAAAGAAACAAAACAAGCGGACAUGUUCGACUAGAUAACCCGAUAAAUAAAAUGCUCAUCAGAACUAUCUUACAACCACUUUCCUUUUUUAUUAUCAUUUUUUCAGAGCACAGGUCUGGCCAUCUGGGAAGAUAGCCAUGCUCUACCACCGCUAUAAAUUAUCGAAGUAUGGUCUGGAAAACGUUCGUACUUUCAUCACCAGAAAUAACAAUAACAAAUGGAUAUUAAUGUGAAUGGAUAUAGUAAUAUUUCCGUAAUAGUAACAAAAGAGAUAAAAGCCUAUAACAAAGUCUCAAAAGGUUUCAAAGUGAAGGUAUCUUUCGUAAACCAGAUUAAAUUUUCCGAUGAAACCAACUAUCUAUUAUAAGAUGAAAAAAGCUUACGAAAAAAAUCAAAAGAAUAUAACAGUGAAUCAAGUAUAUGAUUUCAAAAUCAUAUCAAAUGAUUACCUUUGCAUCGAGAAUAUGGCCAAACUUGUCAAAUGCUUUUUUUAGAUCUCAAUCUGAGGUUGACCAUGAGAGGCCACCAAUGAAACAGCGAUAUUCAACUUCAUCUGACAUGAUUCAAACUGUUCCUUUUCUAAAAAGAAAAGAGGGAGAGAGGAAAGUCAAAUUUACAACUGAUAUCAUAGACAAAGGUAUGUCAAUCACUCAAAUCUAUUAUUACCAUAUUAAGAUCACUUCAAAACUUAUACAAAGCAUUCCAAUUUGGACGAAAGGAAAUUAGCUAUCAAGUAUAGAGUUAAUUCAGAAGUAUUUUUGCUCGAGGUGCAAAUCAUUAUCAUUGCCAUUGGCCAUUGAUUUCGUGGAGGUUGUUGCCAAAUUGAAAGUUUCAAAAGGUUUGCUUGCCUCUUAGACUCCUCCUGAUGACUCCCAUCGUUUCAAUGUAUAUAAAUAAGCAUGAAACAAACAAGGAAUGCAUCUACCAUCUAUUCUCUGAUCGGAUUAAUAUCUCUACACUUUACAGAAAUAGUUAAAACCUAUAUUCUUAGACAUAGUGAAUCAAAGGCAACCCAAUCACUUUCCCUCUCAUGAGACAUAAAUAGAUUGCUGUGAAACUUUUUCUCCCUCUCAUGAGUUGUGCAAAAUGCUUUCAUAAUUUGUUCAAUAAUUAGCUCCUUCCCAAAAAAUUAUCACACAUGCCUAUAUGAUUAACAACAUCUCUUCUCGUGCCAUGAGAAACCUUUUAUCUUCUUGACAAAAUUCAGAUUUUCUUGAAGUGAACAUCUACAUCACUAUUCAAUACCAAGUACCAUACCAAAGCAUGGUAAUCAUAAAAAACAUCCAUUCAGUAACAAAUACAAGGAUAAAUAUAAAUUUUAGACAGCGAUUCUAUGUAUGACAUAACCCCGUCAUUCCCUACAUAACCAUCAAUACAACAAUUACAGACAAAAACAAUCACAGAUGUAAGUUAUACUACGAGAUUACACAAAUAUACUAGAAGGUUAAAACGUUUUUACACCUGCAAAAGCAGAAUCGAACCCUAGACGUAAUUUUCUCCAAAAUUCUACGUAUCUUCGAUAAAAUCUAGGU